rnacentral:rRNA from 1 species
UACGUAGGGUGCGAGCGUUGUCCGGAAUUAUUGGGCGUAAAGAGCUCGUAGGCGGUUUUGUUGCGUCUAUCGUGAAAACCUGCAGCUUAACUGUGGGCUUGCGGUGGAUACGGGCAGACUUGAGUUCGGUAGGGGAGACUGGAAUUCCUGGUGUAGCGGUGAAAUGCGCAGAUAUCAGGAGGAACACCGGUGGCGAAGGCGGGUCUCUGGGCCGAUACUGACGCUGAGGAGCGAAAGCGUGGGGGAGCGAACAGG